AUUGAACGCUGGCGGCAUGCCUAACACAUGCAAGUCGAACGCGUGGCGGACGGGUGAGUAGUGUCUGGGCAACUGCCUGAUGGAGGGGGAUAAAUACUGGAAACGGUAGCUAAUACCGCAGACCAUGAGAUGUGCCCACAUGGGAUUAGCUUGUUGGUGGGGUACCGGCUCACCAAGGCGACGAUGCCUAGCUGGUCUGAGAGGAUGCCCAGCCACACUGGAACUGAGACACGGUCCAGACUCCUACGGGAGGCAGCAGUGGGGAAUAUUGCACAAUGGGCGCAAGCCUGAUGCAGCCAUGCAGCGUGUAUGAAGAAGGCCUUCGGGUUGUAAAGUACUUUCAGCGGGGAGGCGUUACCCGCAGAAGAAGCACCGGCUAACUCCGUGCCAGCAGCCGCGGUAAUAC
rnacentral:rRNA from 1 species